CUGCAGUAUAGCUAUCUGUGCUAUAAUGAAGGAUCAGUUAAUUGCCUUAUGUGAAGGAGUAUAACUAGUGUACCUGUGUAUGCAUAGGAAAUAGCAGAUUCGCUUCAAAGCAAAGAGCUACAUUGCCUAUUCUUCCUCAGGAGGAGACCUUGCUGUGACAAGAGGCUUCUCAGCUGCUUGGGAACUAUAAAAGAAGGUCUCGGGCCUCAUCUUUUUUCAAUCUCAGCUCUGCUUAAACUUUAUCAGGGGAAGUUAAAGUUGCUAGACUGAGGUCUAUUCUGUAUUAUCCCUGCAAAUUCUCAUGGAAGAAUUUGAACAAACUCUGCACACGGACUGCCUAUUUGCCUAUAAUCUGUUGAACUGAUUCUGGAAGGACUUUUAUAAAUCAGCAGCCUCACCAUCUUCGCUAUGAAACUGACCUGAGACCUUUAUUCAUAUCUACUAUGCAUUCCUGGAGAGGAGACAUCAGCUGUGAGAGUGCCUGUCUCAGGAGACUUCCAAUUCAGGUUUGAGGCUUCUCCUGCGCUGUGAAUCAGAAGGAAUUCCUCUGAGAUCAAGUAUAAAAUCCAGACAGCACCUGACACCUGGCAUCUGAAGGAAUCUGAAUGUGGAUCUAAACCAGCCACCCAGCUCCAAGAAUGCAAAGGAAGGGAGAAAAUGCCUUUGGUGUUUGUGGGGUGAUUUAUUGCUUGUGUAUUGGUCUAACUAAACUCAUGCUUAUCGAGGAGCCUCUUCAACUGCUCAGUAAACUAAGGAGAUGGCUUUCAAAGCCCUUUUGUGCCAGAAACAAGAGGGAGGACAGGACUGAAUUGAUUCCCAGUGUCUUCUGCAGUGCACUAGUUUCAAGAUAUUAAUGUAGCCCCUCUUCCCUCCUCCCAAAAAGGCACUGAGCUUAGGGUCUUGAAGCAUGAGAGUGAAAGGCUUAGCACAUCAGGUAGAGGCCGUUGCUAUACAGAUUUCUCCCAUAGAGUCAAAGUCUUGGUCCACACUAGAGCUAGGUGGGAAAUUAAAAACGAAAUUAAUCAAAUAAUUUGUUUGAAAAGUAUCACAACAUUAAUUAACAACAUUGACUGGAAGAUGCCCGAGAGCCACCUGGAUCCCAGGACCUUUUCAGAGAAUCUUGUACUUCAAGGUAUAAGCCAACCAUUCAACUAAUUGAAAGAGGUUAGGAAAAAAUUUCCCUUGUGGGCAAUCUAUUCCAUAAUUAUGUGAUUUCUUUUAUCUGCCUCUGUGGCAUCUGGUUCUGUCCAUUUGUUAUAUACAAAAUACCAGACUAGAGGGGCCAAUGGGGGUAUUCUCAUUUGGCAAUUCUUCUGCUCCUAAAAAUAUCUAAGAAGAAACUAUAAGAGAGUAUUGACUUUCACCAAAAGAAGUGAUUGAUUAUUGCAGGGUCGGGUCAGGCUUACACAAAGAUAUGAAAUAGUAGAAAACAGAAUUACUUAGCAAUUAGCAUCUCUCACUCAAAAGGUUAAUUGCUUCCACUAGAUAACUUAAGUGAAUUAGACUGGGUUUUUUGUUUACAUUAUUUGACACAGGAAAUGUAGCCAUGGCCUUUCUUUGUCUUCAUCAGCUCUAUUCAGGGGUAAGAGGAAAUGGUUUGUAAAUGCAAUUUAAAGGUGGAUUGAAGUGGGUUUUUUUUUAACUAAAUAACUACUAGUUUAAGUUCUCAAAU